CUCAAGAAAUUGGCGGGGACCCGCACAAGCGGUGGAUGAUGUGGAUUAAUUCGAUGCAACGCGAAAAACCUUACCUACCCUUGACAUGUCUGGAAUGCCGAAGAGAUUUGGCAGUGCUCGCAAGAGAACCGGAACACAGGUGCUGCAUGGCUGUCGUCAGCUCGUGUCGUGAGAUGUUGGGUUAAGUCCCGCAACGAGCGCAACCCUUGUCAUUAGUUGCUACGAAAGGGCACUCUAAUGAGACUGCCGGUGACAAACCGGAGGAAGGUGGGGAUGACGUCAAGUCCUCAUGGCCCUUAUGGGUAGGGCUUCACACGUCAUACAAUGGUCGGGACAGAGGGUCGCCAACCCGCGAGGGGGAGCUAAUCCCAGAAACCCGAUCGUAGUCCGGAUCGCAGUCUGCAACUCGACUGCGUGAAGUCGGAAUCGCUAGUAAUCGCGGAUCAGCAUGUCGCGGUGAAUACGUUCCCGGCUUUUGCACACACCGCCCG
rnacentral:rRNA from 1 species